AUUGAACGCUGGCGGCAUGCCUAACGCAUGCAAGUCGAACGGUAGCAGGCCCUUCGGGGUGCUGACGAGUGGCGGACGGGUGAGGAAUGCAUCGGGAUCUGCCCUGUUGUGGGGGAUAACUUAGGGAAACUUAAGCUAAUACCGCAUACGACCUUAGGGUGAAAGCGGGGGACCUUCGGGCCUCGCGCAGCAGGAUGAACCGAUGUCGGAUUAGCUAGUUGGUAGGGUAAAGGCCUACCAAGGCGACGAUCCGUAGCUGGUCUGAGAGGAUGAUCAGCCACACUGGGACUGAGACACGGCCCAGACUCCUACGGGAGGCAGCAGUGGGGAAUAUUGGACAAUGGGCGCAAGCCUGAUCCAGCAAUGCCGCGUGUGUGAAGAAGGCCUUCGGGUUGUAAAGCACUUUUAUCAGGAAAAGAAAUCCGCUGGACUAAUACUUUGGCGGGAUGACGGUACCUGAGGAAUAAGCACCGGCUAACUUCGUGCCAGCAGCCGCGGUAAUACGAAGGGUGCAAGCGUUAAUCGGAAUUACUGGGCGUAAAGCGUGCGUAGGUGGUUUGUUAAGUCUGCUGUGAAAGCCCUGGGCUCAACCUGGGAAUUGCAGUGGAUACUGGCUAACUAGAGUGCGGUAGAGGGUUGUGGAAUUCCCGGUGUAGCAGUGAAAUGCGUAGAUAUCGGGAGGAACACCAGUGGCGAAGGCGGCAACCUGGACCAGCACUGACACUGAGGCACGAAAAGCGUGGGGGAGCAAAACAGGAUUAGAUACCCUGGUA
rnacentral:rRNA from 1 species